rnacentral:lncRNA from 1 species
AUAGCCUCAAGGACGAAAAUAUCUCAUAGCUUGGAACAAAAAAACAUGAGGAUGUUUGGCUCCCUUUCUGGAAGUGAUGACAAAAGAGACACGGUGGCAGGUGGAAAAUAGUACUGAAAGUCCUCCAAAUGUCAUCUUCAAAAUGAGAAAAAGCAGACAACACACAGGAAUUGAAAUGGAGAGGAAUCACUCUAAACUGCUGGAAAUUACUAUCUUAAAGCACAGAAAAUCCUUGUCCACACAAAGUUUAGGUAGAUUCAUCCAUUUAGUGGUGAUUAAUUUGCAAAUUGGGUUAGCUUUUCAAUUAUUUCUAGUUCUUUCAUGUACUGAAUUGCUGUAUCUACUCUAAUAAAGAUG